CUACGGGUUGCUGCAGUGGGGAAUAUUGCACAAUGGAGGAAACUCUGAUGCAGCAACGCCGCGUGGAGGAUGACACUUUUCGGAGCGUAAACUCCUUUUAUAUAGGAAGAAGAUGACGGUACUAUAUGAAUAAGCGCCGGCUAACUCCGUGCCAGCAGCCGCGGUAGUACGGAGGGCGCAAGCGUUACUCGGAAUCACUGGGCGUAAAGAGCGUGUAGGCGGAUUAAAAAGUCAGAAGUGAAAUCCUAUAGCUUAACUAUAGAACUGCUUCUGAAACUCUUAAUCUAGAAUGUGGGAGAGGUAGAUUGAAUGUCUGGUGUAGGGGUAAAAUCCGUAGAGAUCAGAAGGAAUACCGAUUGCGAAGGCGAUCUACUAGAACAUUAUUGACGCUGAGACGCGAAAGCGUGGGGAGCAAACAGGAUUAGAUACCCCGGUAGUC
rnacentral:rRNA from 1 species